GCCAGGAGUGGUGGCACGCACCUGUAGUCCCUACUACUUGGGAAGCUGAAGUGGGAAGAUUGCUUGAGCCCAGGAGUUCUGGGUUAUGAUGACUGAGUGUCUGCACUAAGCUUGGCAUCAAUAUGGUGACCUCUUGGGAGUGGGGGACCACCAGGUUACCUAAGAAGAGGUGAAUGAGCCCAGGUCGGAAACCAAGCAGGUCAAAACUCAUGGGCUGAUCAGUAGUAAGGUCACCCCUGUGAAAAGCCAAUGUAAUCCAGCCUGAGCAACACAGUGAGACCCU
ensembl:misc_RNA Metazoa_SRP Metazoan signal recognition particle RNA